CAAGUUAAAAAAAAAAAUCAAACUGGGUUUUAUUAAAAUAUACAUAAACAACCCUCAUGUACUUUUACUUCAUCAGUAUUAGGAAAUAAAAGUGAAAAGUGAUUAUCCUGGUAUAAAGAAAUGAAGGCCAAAAGGGAGUCAAGAAAACUAUGCUUCAGCCCAGAUCUGCCACCUC